ACGAGAAGCACUCCAUCUUGUCACAUGUGAAAGGACACAAAUGUGCAGUAAUGUGGACUCGUCUUCGCAACGCUAUAAAGUCCAAUGAGGCUGCAGAUGCAGAGACAGGAUGAUGCAUGUGGGGAAGGAGGUGGAGGGUAGUAAGUCAGUAAGUGCUCCCUCUCCCUCUUGUCAUGAAUAAUGGAGAGCCAGAAGCAGCAGCAGCAGCAGCAGCAGUGUGGUACAGAGGGACCGUGCAACCAGGAGCAAGGAGUGUUUACUUACUGUAUGUAUUUUGAUCAAAUAUUUCCUGGAUUUCCUGGUUUUGUUCAUCCCCCUUAUUUUCUUUUUUGACUCUCUUAUGUAUUUUAUUCAUUUUGAUCAUUCUUUACUAAAACACUCACAAACCAUAUAGAUAGAGAAUGUUUAUCAGAAGGUUGAGUUAGAACUAGGCUCUUACACUGAGGGGUUACUUUUGGCGGUCCAUCUCUUAUCGUCUGUUUGUCGAAACUCUUUGGUCUGUUUGGGUGUGACAGGCAUCUCAGCCUUUAGGGGGCGCAAGUAAGACUUUAAGACUACAGCUUGUUACAUUUCAUUCGCCAUUAAAAUUGCAAACCACUCACUGCGCUCAGAUGAUCAAAUCUGUCGGACCCAUGAUGGCACUACUCCCAUUCUUGGAGCAAUAAAAUGCCUUUCAUAAAGUUUUAUUAGAUUUACAGUAUAUCUUGGUUAGUUUUUGAACUUGCAGUUAAAAUGAACUAAGUGUGAGAAAAACAAGAAAAACACAAGGUCACAAUGACAAGUGCCUUAUUCCAUUUAGCACAUCAACCACUUGUGUAGAUAAUGAACCUUUACUGUGGAGUUCAUAGCACACCCCGGGAGAAGGAAGCAUCAAAACACUAUCACUAAUUAGAACAUCUACAAUGUGCAGCACACCAUACGACUUUGAUUUGAGCUUUUACUUGAUGUAUAAAACAACUGGUUGGGACGUUAGCCAUACGAAUCUGAACUAACAUUUAUUUAAAGCCUCUAGAAUCACAAUUUGUCUGGUGCCAUGUUGACGUUUUGCAGCCAGUAGUUUGGAGGCAUCACCAUGUACAUACUGGUGAGUGGGUGCUGGGGGUGUAGGCAGCAGGAUUAUGUUGACUGAAUGUAGGGGAAACAAUUAUCACAGCUCAGGUAAAGUUGAUUACACAACGACGGUUCAUUUACGACAUGUAGUGAUCAUUUCAGUAGCUGUUGAUUAAAAAACAAAACGUUGAUGAAUUGUACUGCUGUCCCGAUAGCUAAUUGACAAGAAAAGCCACUAACAAGCAAAUGGCAUGAGGGAUUUAUGUGCACUUAUAGAGUUAUCAUUUCUACAUUCAAUUAUGACUUUAUCUCUGGCACCAUUACU